rnacentral:lncRNA from 1 species
CAAUGCUCAAUCUGUUUGUUGAAAGAAGUUAUUGAAAUGUUUUUUUCAAAAAUCACUUAAAUUGCUUGAAAACUAAGCAUACUGCUAGAAGGAAUAAAAAGCAAUAAAACUAAAAUUAUUUAAAGGAUACAGAUUUAAAUUAUUUAAUUAUUUAAAGCAAUUGAGACUUGUCUAGGGUUAGGGUUGAGUAAAAUAAUCAAUUCUUUUCACAGGCAAUAAAUGAUGUUCUGUUUCCUGGCAGCUGAGGCAAAAAUGGAAAUAUGCCAUGCAUUAAACAUUAAUUUUCAUAGCGCAAGUAGAAAAGAAGGGAGGCCUAAAGUAGGAGAAGAUGAGGUCAAUUCGCUUCAUACCUGUGUUAAGUUGGGAAAGAUGAGAAAGAUCGGUGCCAUAACUUUGUCUUCCUUGACAUCACUUGCAGCUGGACUGUAUUUCAUUGUGACACUAUUCGUACUUCCUCUAAUUUUGGCAAAUGGGCUGAAGGAAAGACAGUGGUCACAAAGAUUUUCAAGGAUGGCACCUGCUUGUGACUUAGCAUAUAGUGGGGACUUCAAGGCCAAUUUCAAAUUUCAGAAAGAAUUGGCUGAUAUCCAAGCAUCCAAAUUCAUCACCACUGAAAUCAAUUCCUCCGAAGAGGGCAUUUUCCCUUCAGCUGAGCAACACUGGCCAUGAUAAAGAGGCUGGAGAGCUGGUAUGAGAGGAAACCAGCCCUGAGCUUCCUCCACUGGAGAACCAGAGAGCCCUCUAGAGCACCGGAAGUUGGUAGGACAAUGGCCCAUGAUAAAUAUCCGUUACUCUUGAGAAAUCACUAGGUUCAACUCCUCUUCACAGCUCUAACUUUGCGGUUUCUAAUGAUGGCCAUUCAAAAAGGAUACAUCUAAUCAUUAGUCACUGCGUGUGAAAAAAGAUUUUAGUCUCCCUCAAAUAAAGAUGGAAUAACUUAUUUGUGAACAAACCACUAAAGUUUUAUUCAUGACCUUUUUGACUCUUUCAGUGAAAAAAAAAAUCAAUCCAGAACCUGAUGUGCUGAGUUAAAUUCAGCUGCUUUCUUUUACAAUAGGUGAGACACUUUAUCCUUUAUCAUCUACAGCUGAAAUGAAGGCUGAUUUUUCACUUUUAAGCCAUUUUCACCAACUUGCUAAAACCAUUUUGGAUAGCAUCCACUUCAUUUCAUCAGAUAACCAAAAAAACAAAUGUAUGGGCCCAGGUGGGAGUGGUUACAAGUCCUGGACUCAGCUGCCCUCACCAUGUCUUAGGUAGGAAGAGUCAGGAUGGCCUCUGCCAGCAGCUAUGUGCUUUCCUUAAGGACCAGUAUGCAGUCUCGGGCCUGCUGGUCUCAGGAAGACCUUAGCUGUGCCUGGCAGGCCGAUGUAGGGCUUGCUGCGUGACCAUGUGUGUGACAGCUGCAAAGCGCAUUCCUUGUCUUACAUGUUUGCAAUACAUGCUAAUAUGAUACACAGGUACAUGCAUAACACAGUGAAACACCUUAAAUCCAAACACAGCUGUCAAACUGUAAAAUGCGUCUCUCAACUAGUGCCUGAGGCCUCAACUCUGGGAACUGGUAUGAACCAGAGUAUUUGCUUCUCUGACCACGCUUUCCUCUAAUAAUAAUGACUGUGUCCUUUGCCCCUCGAUAUUCAAUCAUCAAUCUGUGCUCUUCCAUGCCUAGGCUUCCUGCCUCCCUGUCUCAGUCUACUCAAGUUGCUGUAACAGAACAUGAUAAACUGGGUGGCUUGUAAGUCUCAGAUCAAAACGCUGACAGACUCUGGGUCCGGUGAAUGUCCUCUCCUCACAGAGGACAUCUUCUUGCUGUGCCCUCAUGUGAUGGAAGGGCCGAGUGUCUCUGCAGAUUCUCCUAUAAGGGCACUAAUCCCAUUCAUAGGGGCCCUGCCUUUAUGAGCUAAGCACCUCCAUGAGGCUUCUGAGAGCACUGGAGGCUAGUAUUUAACAUAGAAUUUGGAGGGGGAGACACACUCAUUUAGACCAGUAGCACUCCCUGAAUACCACUGCAUAGCACAGCAAAUGGCACAUAUCCAAA